AGAAAGUCUUGAACGUCCAGAUCUGGAAAGGGCAAGCACAAUUAAGAUGCUGAUAAGCCCAGUACUUCCAAACAGCGGUCUGAAAUGUUGAAGAAGGCAUCAUCAGUUCUGUCCAAAGUGUUUUCAAGAUCCAAGGCCAAUGUUUCCAGAUCUUCUUCAACCUCACCCCCUCACCAGGACAGAAGCUGAGGCUGCUGCUACACCUAACAUCAAUAAUGGUGCUGGCCUUCCUCAAAAAAUAAAUGGUUUUUGAAACAUGA